GUCAGAAGCCCAGGCUGCCAGAACCAGAGACUGGAGAAGGGGAGAGAAGCUUCACUCUCCUCUCCAUUCAUCAUGCCUCCCCCGCCCACCACCACCACCACCAAAAUACGACCAACUUGAAGCCUCAGAUCCAGCAAGAUGUCAGUUUCCUCAUCCAUAAAAUGGGAAUUAAAUACCUAGUCUUCUUGACCUUUACUGUGAGCCCAUGUAGGAUAGGGACUGAGUGUGGGCCAUCUGGAGGGCAAGCUCACUUUUCCUUCAAAGUGGUUCUGUGCCAUAAGAAUCCUGUGGGCCCAAUUUUUAGGUUCCAUGGAUGACCGGAGAUGCAGCAAUAACAAGAGAGAGGAAGAUCUCACUAUGACACAGCUGUGUUGGGGCAGUUGAACUCCUUGCACCAAAACAAGGCUUAUGGAGGAUAUUGUGCAAUGGCAGCCGAAGGAGAUGAAGCAGACUGGAGAUGAAAUUAACUGGAAGCAUCUCAGAGUAUACUUUGAUACCCACAUGGAAUCAAGCGGCUUCAGCAAAAAAAAGAAGAGGCUCCUCCUUCACCUCCUUCAACAAGCACCUCUCAUAAUUCCCCACACACAGCCGUCUUCCUCCCGCAAGAAUUUGUAGACUUGCCACCUCAGAGCACUUCAUUAGUACCACAGUUACUGUUAAAAGCCAUCUGCAGAUGUUUCUGUUCUCUCAGGCCUCACCAUAUGACCCCACGAAACAACAUUCCUGGAUCAGGCAUCAGUGGUCCACCCAAUCCAGAAUUCCAGCAGUGGCAGGAGGAAGCUUGCAGGGACUAUAUGCUGGGUCCCAUCCUGCACCUCCAUCCUCAUGAUUAGGAGAUGAACCAUCCAACACCUCCAACUUUCCCUUCUAUAUUUUCAACUUUCCUCCGUAACUCAUUAUGGACCAUUCAUGCAUCAGCUAUCCCAAACUCCUCCUAUAGCUCCUGAUAUUUUCUGACCAUAUACCAUCCUGUGAUUACAGAUAUCAUAUUCUUAUCACACCCUAUGUGAAGAAGUGUUUGUAACAGAAACGCAGCUGUCUUGGGAGAACUGGUGAGCAUCUCCAAAUAUUGGGGAUUUAAAUAUGCUUUCUGGUUCAUUUCAAACAUUUGUUUGGAGGAGCACGAUGCAGGCUUUUGUCUAAUUCAUUCACAAAUCUGAAUCUGAAGUGCUGUUGGAGGAGAUAAUCCAGGUGCCUUCUGAGCCUUUUAUUUGUUAAAUUUUCCCUUGGAGGGUCAUGUUAAGUUAAAAGCAAAGACCUCACUUGCAAAACAUUUGGUUUUGGUUCAAAACCUGGGACAUACAAGGCUUGGUUCAACAAUAAAACCUGUUCUUUGUUUUUACAUGUC